GACGAACGCUGGCGGCGUGCUUAACACAUGCAAGUCGAACGGAAAGGCCCUGCUUUUGUGGGGUGCUCGAGUGGCGAACGGGUGAGUAACACGUGAGUAACCUGCCCUUGACUUUGGGAUAAAUUCAGGAAAAUGGGGCUAAUACCGGAUAGGAGCUCCUGCUGCAUGGUGGGGGUUGGAAAGUUUCGGCGGUUGGGGAUGGACUCGCGGCUUAUCAGCUUGUUGGUGGGGUAGUGGCUUACCAAGGCUUUGACGGGUAGCCGGCCUGGGAGGGUGACCGGCCACAUUGGGACUGAGGUACGGCCCAGACUCCUACGGGAGGCAGCAGUGGGGAAUAUUGCACAAUGGGCGGAAGCCUGAUGCAGCGACGCCGCGUGCGUGAUGACGGCCUUCGGGUUGUAAACCGCUUUCGCCUGUGACGAAGCGUGAGUGACGGUAAUGGGUAAAGAAGCACCGGCUAACUACGUG
rnacentral:rRNA from 1 species